ACUACGGGAGGCAGCAGUGGGGAAUAUUGCACAAUGGGGGAAACCCUGAUGCAGCGACGCCGCGUGAGUGAAGAAGUAUUUCGGUAUGGAAAGCUCUAUCAGCAGGGAAGAAGAAAGACGGUACCUGACUAAGAAGCACCGGCUAACUACGUGCAAGCAGGCGCGGUAAUACGGAGGGGGCAAGCGGUAUCCGGUUUUACGGGGUGUAACGGGAGCGUAGACGGCUGUGCAAGUCUGACGUGAAAGCCCAGGGCUCAACCCUGGUACUGCUUUGGAAACGGUGGAGCUAGAGUGCUGGAGAGGUAAGUGUAAUUGCUAGUGUAGCGGUGAAAUGCGUAGAUAUUAGGAGGAACACCAGUGGCGAAGGCGGCUUACUGGACAGUAACUGACGUUGAGGCUCGAAAGCGUGGGGAGCAAACAGGAUUAGAUACCCGGGUAGUC
rnacentral:rRNA from 1 species